GAGUUACGGUGUGACUGUAAGAUAAUCGGUAGAAGAAAGAUUAUGGAAUAGUACACGAAAAUUCCUCACUAUUCUUACAACAACAACAAUUAUUUAAAUAAUAAGGUGAGGAAGUUCCUUUUGAAUACCUGGGGAAUUGUAACUAUAAAUUAAAGUUAAGUGAUGCUUAUUAAGGCUUUCAGGAUAGGUGCUUUAAAAUGUAAAUAGUUUAGGGCAAAACAAUCUCAUCCAUCUGGGGCCUUCAACUCUUUAGAACAGGUGUGAGAACCCUAAAGACAGAGGGACCAGAGAGUCUGCUUACUUUACCCACAAUUGUAACAGGUUAGUUAUAUAGUUUUCUAUAGCUGCCAAGGAGGUUGGGGGAGGGGGAAAAGGGGAGAAGGAAAGCAAAUGACAGUAAGAAAAAGGUAUCGCUGACAAUGAAGAGCCUGGGAUGAUUGUGGGUCUGCAAAUAUCAUUAUAUUACAGCAUAGUAAUUGAUGUUCAUAAUGAUGACUACUACUCAUCAAGAAAAGGUUAAAUUACAUUUUGAAUACUCAGCUUUAGAAAGCAGAGAAGUGUGUAAUAGAUUUUAGCAAGGUUUCUAUCUAAAGUGGUUAAAACAAAAUAAAAAAAGCUAGUGCUUAAAGGACAGAGUGAGGGUUCAGUGAUCUGUAAAAUUAGCUUCUACUAUCCAAAUCUGAUACUACUUGGAUAAACAAGGCAUUAUACUGUACCUAAAAGAAUCAAUGUUUUACCAUUCAUAACAAAUCGUUGCUCUUCACUUUGGUUUCAGAAUAACAAAACUAAAAGCAAACUUGGUUACCUCCCUGCCCUACAGUGCUCAUUUAAAAUUUUUGCUUUGUUAGGUUAGGGAGGAAGCUCAACAUAUUCCAAACACUUAGGCACUCCUCUGCCCCAAGACAGAGACAAGAUCUGUUUCAUCUGUUCUGGAAAAGUUGACCAUAUAUGUGUUCUCAACACAGAAUAAGAAUUCAAAGGCAUAUAUCUGAUUACCUAUUUAAUAAAGGAACUCGUGACUAUGGCCCUGAUGUUGUGAAGAAAGGAGGCAGCCAGGCUUCUUUGCCAAAGAUGGGAUGUUAACUGAGACUUGAAGAAAGCCAGGGAAGCCAGGAGGUGAAGAUGAGAAGGAGGGAGUGGGAGUGUUCCAGGCAUUUGGAGGGGGGAAGAGAAGGAUGGUUAAGAUAAAUGCUUAAAAAGUCAAGUGUGUGUCUUCUUUAAGGAACACCAAAGUAAGGAGAACAAUCAUUUGAUGGCAGGGGGUGUGUGUGUGUGUGUAGGGAGGUUUGGUAGGAAUGGUGCAAUUUAAAGACAGGAAAGUUCUUCAACUUAUAAGACGUAGGGUUUAAACUAGUUUGUAAGAACGGAAAGGAGAGAUCUCUUUGUAGGUCAGGUCAGUAACACAACAAAUCACAAUCCAAACUGGUAAAGCAAAUAAUCCCUGCCACCACCA
ensembl:lncRNA